GCUAAUAAUGGUAUUCUACGUGUGUCAGCCUCGUGUGGACUUCUGUAAUGACUAAUGGAUAUGUUUAUAUCCUGAGCAUUUGCUGUAGGAAUUUUAAAUGCAAUCCCAAAACUCAAGAUUACCUUAUUUGGAGAAAUAUUCGUGUUACUAUGUUUAAAAUUUAAUAGAACCAUAUUUUACCUUUCACUUUGGGACUCGCACAGGAUGUUUGCAGCUCUUGAUAUACAGGAACUAGAACGUGUCUUUUAAGAGCAUGCGGUUUUAUAAUUACGUGGAAGUAUGCUACGCAAGGGAAAAAAGCCUCUUGCUAGUGUUAAGGGUCUUCAUAAACAGAAACCGCAAGGAACCUGGGAUCUGACAGCUGUUGGAGGAAUGCCUGUGAGGAAGGAGGAGGAACAGAAGAAUGCUUUGAUGUCUUAAAUGGUACAUCCAAACUUAAGUGAAAUAGAGCUGUGAGGACAUUUUGGGGAGAAGUGACCUAGAUAAGCACUGACUGUUGCAUUCAUCUCUCUUCUUGCUGAUUGUGAUGAUUUCCUGUGCCAUAGCCAUUCAAAGUCUGCCAAAAAAGCUAGCAUGUAAUUUUCUUUCUCUACUUCUCUACAUUUGGAGGAUGGAAAUGUAGAUGUUCUUCCAUUGUGCCAGCCUCCUCAUUCUUCUUUCUCCAAUGCCGCAUCUUCCUGCAAACUUCCUGCCACAACUCAAACAACAGGAAAAUAAAUGAUCUGAAAUCCUCCUGAACUGCAGCCUACCUAUCGUGGUCUCUAUGGGUGCAAACUUCCUUCCAGAAGCUUGUUCAGCUGGCUAAAACAGGACAUUUGCCAAUGCAGCCAAAAGUUGGGUCUUAUACUGGCUACCUCCUAUGCAGAGUGAAAAACUUUUCUUUCUCCCACAGCCACAGACAUCGCUCCUCUUCCAGCUCAACAUCUUUCAAAGGGAUGGCUCUCAGUCCCGAAAUGAAAAGAAAAGGUGGCUUGGUGCAAAUCAUUCUCUUUAUCAGCAAAAGAAAUACCAAAGCCUGUGUCCUUCUGACAUAGUGAGCUGUCGAGGUAGUCCAGGGAAAAGAUGACAGUGAAUUGAGUUAUGGGAUGGCAAUGGAGACUGAAAAGAAUCUGUGUUUAUUAUAUGUAUAUAUAUCAUUAAGGUAGAACUAGUGGAUUUUCUCUGGCACUGCACAUGGGAAGCAAGUGAAGGAGAGUGAUCUAGAAUGACGCCACCAUUUUUGCCUGAGAAAUUCAGUACUCAGAGGUGUCUGUCAUUCAGAGAGAUGGAGGAAACAAGAAGAGGAGCAAGUUGGGGGAGAGGAAGAAGAAAUGUAGACACAGAU
rnacentral:lncRNA from 1 species